ACAAUCGUUAUUUUGUUCGUCUGUGAAAACGCAGAUGACGAAGAUUUAUGGUUGCUUGUCAUGGUAUGUGCGUGCAAUUCACAGAGUUUCGUAUUAAUGGUGCAUUAGCAAUAUUUACAAAAACAUUUGGGAUCAUUGGCUGCACCUAGAGGCAACCGAUUCUUAAAGAAGGGGUCUUGCAACUAAGCAUGACGCGGUUUUUGUUUAUAAAUCUUGGGCAUUUUAACUGCCCCACACGAUCGUUUUGGAAAUUGUGAAAUACCCAGAUGGUCAUGUAUAUAGAGUAUAAAACUAGUAAAAACUAUAAAUCGAUAAAAAUGCAAAGAUAUUUUGGCAUAUCGAUGUUUUUUACCAUUGCAAUGCAAAAUUACUGCAAGGUUUUAAAGUGUGGCAUAGUAAAACAUAAAAAUACACAAA